CUUCAAACCAGGUCUAUCAUUUCACCCUCACAUAAAGCUUGGUCAAGAAGCCAUUGGAGCUUCACAUUGACGCUCCAUUCGUGCUUGAGCUGAACCUCACCCUCAUACACACGCAAAAACUCUCAAUCUCACACCAGUACGCAACGACCAAUCCACAACAACCGCAACUACAGAAGGAAAACCACAGGGGAAAACUGAAGAACUGAAGAAGAAGAUUGUUUGGGAAACGGAGAAGACGGACAAAGAAGAAGUGAAACGUACCUACAACCACUGCGUCAGAAUUUCAGUCUGGUGAGUCAUCUUCUUCUCCUUGCUUACACCAUCGGAUUUAUUUUCUUGGACGCAUCCACAAUACGGCCGUGUUUCUUCUCAUUUCCGUGUGCACAAUCCGAUUCGAUUGAAGUCAAAUUGAAGAAAUGGCUUGGAUCCGGAUUCGAUUUUUGUUCUUGAUUUUGGUAUGAAUUUUGGAAGUGAGAAUGAAAGUCUGGAAUCAAAGAUGAUGAAAUGGAGAAGAUUCGUAUAUGUUCUGCUAGCUUAGAUCCGGACUCAGUUUUUCUCCCGAUUUCUUGUGUGAGCUUUGGAGAUGAGAGUGAAAGAGAAGCGUGAAAUUGAAGGUGAAGCGUGGUGUUCAUCCGGCGAUGCCUCCGAUGAUGAACCUCCGUUCGUGGCCUCCGUGAGUGGGCUCCGUCUGGAAACUUCUUUUGCUCCUUCGAUCGUGUAGGGUUUUAGUUGACGUAGGCAGAUUCGGUCUGGGCUUCAGGCCCAACUGAGCAACUCUCAUAGGAGUCCACUUCUUAUUCACAACCCUUCAACACAAACCUCCAUUUCCUGCACCCCAUUCUGGCCCAUUUGAUUUGUACGAAUGGGCUUAUCGUUCCAGGCCCAAAUCAGGGUGGGGUACCCCUGUCCAGGUUCUGUACCAUUUGAGUUUUAUUAAUUUAAUUUAAUUAUAACUACUUCAUAAUCAAGUUACUUAAUUGAACUCCAACAUUAGGACUAGUCAUGUUAGUUAGGUUAAUUAGAUUUUAAUUAAUUAAAUUAGAAUUGUCCUUGAGGAAUAAAUAUUAAUUAGGUUCUAGAAUUUAAUUAAUUUUUAAUUAGAUUAUGUUUAGAUCUUGAUUUGGUUAUGAUAACUAGAAUAAUUAGAGAUAAUUAAUCCUAGCUUAGAUUUGAUUAAAUAUUGAUUUUCAGAACUUUGUCCAAAUUAAUCAUUGACCAUUUUACCCUUUAGGAGUAAUUUUGGGUAUUUUAGCCAUAUAAUGUUCCUUUAGGAAUCAACAUAGAAUUUUUAAUCAAUACUUUGGUUAACAUUAACAUGCUCCCUUAGGACUUUUAACUUAGAAUUUUCAAUCAAUUUCUAAUGCAUGAUCCCUUAGGAUAGUUUCUGACAAUUACUAACUUCAAUUAGAUCCUAACAUAGUUCCCCACAAAACUAAAACAAAACCCCCGAUUAAAUUGAUCAAAAGCAAUUUUGAUUAAUUAAAUCCUUUGAACUUGUAUAAUCCCACAGUCUAAAUUGAGUGAUCAAAAGACCCUUGGUCACUUAAUAAGACUUUUCUUCCAAGCUGUGGAGCUCAAGGCAUCAAGACAAGAUCUUCAAUCAAGGCAUCCUCAGUCACACCAAAUAGCGGAUUAUACCAGAUAAAUCAAAAGUCAACACUUGGUAAAUACGAUUCAAAUUGUACGAAACGAGCCUUAAGUAAUGAGGAAUGAUGAGAGGGAGUCUCUCCUAUCCUUGUCUAGAGAGACUUUGCGUAUGGGGCGUAUGCCCCAAAUAUUCAAAGCGUUCACCCUUAUUCAUAGACUUUAGUACAAUACGAAUCGAUUAAACUACCAAGUAUUCUUCAUGCAAGUUCAACAUCAACACAAGGAUCAACAACAAAGGUUCUUCACCAACAACUUAUCAGUCAAGAUAAGUAUCAUGCACCUUGAGUCUUAAGUAAUAAGGAAUGAUGAGAGGGAGUCUCUCCUACCCUUGCCUAGAGCGACUUUGCGUAUGGGGCAUACGCCACAAAUAUUCAAAGCGUUUGCCCUUAUUCGUAGACUUCAGUGUGAUUCCUAUAAACCGACUGUCAAGUCUCUUAUCACUUCACUCUCCAUUCCAUUCUAAUCAAUUCAAUCUCAAUCACCCAUUUCGUCUUGCCUCCAAUCAAUUUCUUUUUAGCCGUAGUAGGCUGAAAUACAAAAGCUCUGAUUUCCUUAUUACACUAUAAGGAUACGUAGGCAGGAGAAUUCAGAUUCUUCGCGAGCUACCUUAUUUAUCAAUCUAUCUUAUCUAUUCCUAUCUCAUUUAUAAAUUUAUCCUAUUUCAUCGAUCAAUCAUUCAAUCCUCAUCCAGAUCAUGCAAGGGUCACAUACCCAUUUCUCAAUCAAUAGCUUCAUGCAUUGCCUAUAAGUUCAAACUAUGGCUUACUUUGUUGCUUACCCUCAAGGUGCAGACCUUGGCAACUUCCUUUAGCCCAUGGAGUCAGACUUUGGCUUUAUCCUUUUCCCUCAAGGUGCAGACCUUGGCAACUUCCUUUAGCCCAUGGAGUUUAGACUCUGGCUUUAUCCUUUGCCCUCAAGGUGCAGACCUUGGCAACUUCUUUUAGCCCAUGGAGUUCAGACUUUGGCUUUAUCCUUUUCCCUCAAGGUGCAGACCUUGGCGAUUUCCUUUAGCCCAUGGAGUUCAGACUCUGGCUUUGCUUCUUGCCUUCAAGGUGCAGACGUUGGUAAGCCCCUUUCGUCCACGGAGUUCAAAUUCUGGCUUUAUUCUUUGCCCAUAAGAUACAGAUCUUGGCAUCCUCGCCCUAUUGAGUUCAGACUCUGGCUAUCUUGAUUUUGGCUAUACAUUUCAUACUUUAACAUACUACCCUGCUUUAUAGUUCAAACAUUGGAAUUUAUUUAUCCAACCCUUGGAGUUCAGACUCUGGCUACCUUUUGCGUUGCACAUACAAUUCGUACUUUGGAAUGAUACUCUUCCUCCCAGAUGGAGUUCAAACUCUGGCAUUUAAAUCAGUUCCUUUGCCUUAUAGUUCAGACAUUGGUAACCUUUGGCAUUGACUCCAAGUUCAAACCUUGACAUUAUAUCUCAGAUGCCCCCUUUGAGUUCAGACUCUGGGAAUCCAUUCCUGGCCUUGUAUUUAGUUCAGACUAUGGCACUCAUCUAUCUUGUCCUAUGGAGUUCAGACUCUGGCAAUAUCUCAUUUGUCCUUGUGGUUGAUUACCAUCAUCGGUUAGUGCCACGUCCUUGCUUGUUAAGCAAUCUACCUCGUCUAUGGGCAAUCCUAUUGAAUCUCUCUUUGCUUUCAGCCAUAGUAGGCUGAACUACGAUUGCUCUGACUUUCUCAUUGCAUAAUCAGAAUACGUAGGAACGAGGGUUCGAACCCUCCGCGAGCAUACUUAUUUAUCAUUCCUGCCCUAGGGCAUUCUUCCAUUCAUCUCCAUGAUACAUUCAUAAUCUACCUUCUUUCACUCCAUAUGGUACACCAGUUAUCUUUGAGCCAAAUACACUACCUCUUUGUGCUCCUUCUUGCGUCACCUUUUGAACCAAAAGAUGUUUGAGACUGUGCCCAAACACCUAUUUCUUCGUCUUUUCGGCUUUAUCUUAUAGUGGUGGCCUGCUAGUCCAUGUAUUGGUAAUAGCCACCUUACUCUUGGGUUCAUGUUUUCACCCUUGUUGGAGUUCAAACCACACAAUUCUUUGGUUCAGACCAUACCUUUGAUCACUAUUCUUUUCACCUCCCACCAUUAGUUCUUUGAAUUACGGAGCUCUGAAUUCCUUAUUGCACUAUGAGGAUACGUAGGCAUGAGGGCCCCAAUCCUCACCGUGCACUUUAUCUAUUUCAUUUUCCUUCCCCAUUUCUUUUGCGAGUAAUCUUUAGACAUAACACUUAUUCGAGCGAGAACAAUUAAAACGGUUCCCAUGGAGUACCAUGGAUGUUUGGGGUGCUAAUACCUUCCCCUUGCAUAACCGACUUCGUUACCCAGCAUAUCUCUUUCCCCCGAGUUUUAUCGAUGUUUUCCCUUCCCUCUGGGAUAAAUAAAGUUCGAUGGCGACUCUGUUGUAUGUUCGAGCGUACGAUACGUUCAGGUAUAUUUCCGCUAGUUUCACAACCCAUUUCUCUCUUGUGUAUGGCACAGAAGCAUUACUCCCUGUGGAGGUUGAGAUCCCAUCAAUGCGAGUCCUGAUGGAAGCCAGUUUAUUUGAGGCUGAAUGGUGUCAGAGCAGAUAUGAUCAGUUGAAUUUAAUUGAAGAGAAGAGAAUGGUGGCCUUGUGUCAUGGCCAGUUAUAUCAAAAGAGAAUGAAGAAAGCAUUUGACAAGAAGGUUCGACCUCGUGUAUUUAGAUAAGGUGUCCUUGUGCUCAAGAAGAUCUUGUCUUUCAACACUGAUUUUAGGGGCAAGUGGACUCUUAAUUACGAAGGCCCAUAUGUUGUUAAGAGAGCUUUCUCUGGCGGUGCAUUGAUUCUUAAAACUAUGGAUGGUGAGGAGAUCCCUCAUCCUAUGAAUGUCGAUACAAUCAAGAAAUAUGUUGCCUAUAAAAAUAAAAGAACAACUCGCUAAGUUGAAAACCCAAAAGGACGGCUUAGGAAAAAAUGAGCAUCUUGAUGGAUUGAAAACCCGAAAGGGAGGUCCAGGCAAGAGUUAGAGACAUAAACAAAAAAUAAUCAUCCUGGUGGAUUGAAUCUGAGAAGGCAAUCUAGGCAAAAGUUAUGGAUAUGGCAAGUAACUGCAUUAGGCCAAAUCAUUUGAAGCAACAUUGUCUAUCAAAGGGUUCCUAUUCAGUCAUCCUCGAUCGAAGUCCAGAGCAUAAUGGAACUCAAAGUUGUUAGGGAGAAUAAUGGUCAUUGUAUUUUAAUGUAGCCAUUUCCAUGUACUUACUAUUUUCCAAAUUUUUAAUGAUCCAUGGAGUCACACCAUUUGCGGACUACCAUUCUAUCAAUAAAAUUUGAGUCUUUUGCCCAUUUGUUCGCUAUUCUUAUUUUGUUUUAGUUUACGAAAUUUCAUUUAUUUUUGAUGAUAAUUUUUUAAACAAAAAUAUUUAAACAAUCAUAUUUUUUGAAAGUUUACAAAAAAGAUAUGUAUUUUCCUCAACUUGUGAAUACAAAAGAGGAAUGUUAAUGGCAAUCCCAAGGAUGGUAAGAUCCUGAAGAGUGGAAUUCAGUGACUUCCCCAGGCUAGAUUUUCUCCCUAAUAUCAGAUUACAAGAGUGGUCGGAUCCCUAACGAAUCUCUACCAACAUCUCCAUUUUGUUGAGAUUAGCCGAGUAUCUUGUUGUACUAUGUUAUCAGUCUCACGCCUUUGCGUUUACUUUGUCAGCAUAAUCAUACACAUGUGCAUAGCAUCAUAAUGUUUAUUUGCACAUAUUUCAUUUCUCGAUGCUUCCCCACCGCUCUCUGGAACUUUUUGUUGGUGUAAGCCCUAGAGGUUAAUGCUUUUGGUACUUGUAUCGAAUUAUUUAUUAUUAAUAAAAGGCUUUUUCUUUAUUACGUUUGUUUAAUAAAGUCCCUAGAAUAGCUAGUCUGUUUAAUGUAUCAAGUAUGACUUAAUCAUGAGAUCAACUUAAACGAUAAGGCACUAUUCUUAAAGUAUCCGUAGUCGAGCUUUAGUGUGAAGUGGGAUAACAUUAAAGCAUUAAGACUAUUAUGUUUGUAGACUGAUGAUCACAUCUCAUGGAUCAUGGAUAAGAGUUAUCAAGUCUUAAACAUAGGUAUGAUAUUAGGAGUAAAUUUAUACCGGAUUAGCCGCUAUGAGAAUACUAUAUGAAAGUUAUGCAAAGUGUCAUAAGUUAUUCUCAUGGUGAUAAUAGUGUAUACCACUCUUCGACCUGAAACCACUAUGGACCCUGAUGUGGAGCCGAGUGCUUUAUUGCUGAUCCAACGUUGUCCGUAACUGGAUAACCAUAAAGACAGUUGAUGGGUACUCCACGAAGCAUGCUGAGGGACAUGAGUGACCUAGAUGGAAUUUGCCCAUCUGCAUAACAGGAUAAAUGUCUAUGGCCAAUAUUGAACUGGACAAGGAUGACACGGUCUAUGCCUUGUGUUCAAUAUAGACAUAAGGGCAAAAGGGUAAUUAUACACAUAAGUAUUAUCACAAAAGGUUUUGUCAGAUCACAUGACAUUUUCGUGUCUUGGGUAGCAGUGAUGUGUUGCUAGAUACCACUCACUGUUUAUUAUGUUAAAUGCGUGAUUUAAUAUAAUUGCCAACGUCACGAAAACCUAUAGGGUCACACACAAAGACGGAUUGAUGAGAGAUAGAGUAACUAAGGAAUACCGUAAGGUACGGUGCCCUUAAGGUGAAUUAUAGAACAUCGUAGGUACGGUGUACUUGAGUAGAAUACGAAAUAUGGUAAGGUACCAUGGGCUUAAGUGAUUUGGGCAUAUUAUAAGAUAUGGGCCAAAAUACACUUAAGUGGGCUUUUAGCUUGAAGCCCACACAAGUGUUUCUAUAAAUAGAACCCUUGUGCAGAAGCAUUCAUUUGCGGUUGUAUUUUUUUCGUUUUCUCUCUUUCUCUCACUCAAAGCCUUCAUUUCGUACCAGCUAGCACUGAGAUUGAAGGAAUCCGUUCGUGUGGACUGAGUAGAGACGUUGUCAUCGUUCAACGUUCGUGAUCGCUCUGUGGAUCUGCAUCAAAGGUUUUGAUCGUCACAAAAGAGAUCUGCACCAGAGGUUUCAAUCGUCACAAGAGGUAAAUAUUCUAUCACUGAUCAUGACCAUUCGUAAGGAUCUCUAAAGGAGAAAAUUUUAAUUUCCGCUGCAUUUUGGACCGCAAUUCUCCUUCACUUUUCUCUCCAUAGAGUGUGUGAGUCCUCUCUCCAAUAGAGUGUCGACCUUAAGCAGAAAGAGUUUAUCCUUUCUAAUUCCCCAAUGAGUCUGAUCCUCGUGGAAGAUUUUGUUUCAUUCCUCUCUAGUUCAUUAUCUGGACGGAAUCGAUCUCCAAUUGAGUUCAUGUCCUCAUUAGAUUGAGUCCUCUUUGAUCGCUUCUCUCCAGUUCAUUCAUGGGUUGAACUUUGAUCCUUUUUGAUUGAUUGCCUUUGUUAAGUUACCACUUGGCUGAUAGUUGGUAAUCAUUCUGUUUCGGCUUAUUACCUUUGUUAAACUAUCACUCGGCUGAUAAUAGGUAAUAGUUCCUCUUACCUUUGAUUGGUUACCUUUGUUAAGUUACCACUUGGCUGGUAGUUGGUAAUCAUUCUGCUUUGGUUUAUUACCUUGGUUAAGUUAUCACUCGGCUAAUAGUAGGAAACUUUCCUCUUACCUUUGGUUGGUUACCUUUUUUAAGUUACCACUUGGUUGGUAGUUGGUAAUCAUUUCCUUUGGCUUAUUACCUUUGUUAAGUUAUCACUCGGCUGAUAGUAGGUAAGAGUUCCUCUUACCUUUGAUUGGUUACCUUUGUUAAGUUAGCACUUGGUUGGUAGUUGGUAAUUAUUCUGCUUUUGUUUAUUACCUUUCUUAAGCUAUCACUUGGAUGAUAGUAGGUAAUAUUCCUCUCCUUUUAGAGUUGGGGUUUUCCCUUGUUGUUGGUUUCUUUUCCCCGACGAGGUCUUGUUUUGAUAAGUCUUUCUCCGUUGGAUCUCUAGUUCAUUUGUUUCUAAUGGUGCGUUGGUUAUUCUCGAGUCUUUCCCUUUUCCCCUGCGGAACUUUAUUUGUACCCAGUCGGGUCCCCCUGUGGAAGCUAUUUUUUCCCACAAAGAUCUUAGCUUGCAUUCAUAUCAUAUCAUAAACAUCUUCGGUAUCUUAGGGUUAAAAAUUGGGUCUUUGAUAUUUAAGUCUCUUCAAUCUUGUCGAGGCAAAGAUUUCAACCUUCAUAUCUCCAAAUUGAAGAAACUAAAAUAGGGGCAUCUGUCAUAUCCUAAUUUUUAGCCCUAAGAUCCCACAUGUCAUUUGCAUCAUUGUACACAAACAAGGUUGCAUCUUGGUCCUUCCCUUUAUCCAUCUUUGGUUUGCUUCUUGCAGGGAUCACCAAACACUUCUUUAUUGAUUUGUUUUACCUUUGUGUUUUUAUGUUCAUUGCUUAUCUAACCACUAAUCAAAAUAUCAAAAAGUAUGUCUUGUUUCCCUUAAGUUUAUUAUGAAAGUUAAGGGCUUUUUAAUCAAGAGCAUCUCAAAGUUUUGUGGCUUACUUCUCAAGGAAGUCAAAGGUUCAUGUGUUUAUUUCCAUGCCUUCUUCAACAAGAAACUUCAAGCUUUGAGAAAUUUAAUAAAGAGGAAAUCAAGUACACCUUAUUUUGAGUUCAUAUGAUCACACAUGUGCUUUGAAAUGCAAGAAAAUUCCAAGUACACAAGCUUGUUCUAAGUGGUUUGACCUAAAAGUCAAUAAUGUGAAGUCAAGGAUCCAAGGAUCACAACUCCUUCAAUUAUCAACAUUUUUUUAUGAUUAUUUUUUAAUAUGAGUCUUCUCAACAUCCUUUACAACUUCUCUUUACAUGACAAGAUCCAAUUAUGCUUGGAGAAUAAUCAAACGUUUGGAGACAUUAUAGGUCAUUUGUGGACUUAGUGAAUUUUGACCUAUUUUCAAGUGACUUUUUCCCAACUUUAAAAGAUCAUAACUUCUUCAAUUUUCAACAUAUGAAGUUUAUUCUUUUUGAAAAAUUUCAUUUGUGAUAUGCUCUACAAGUUUGCUUCAAGGACCAAGGUCAGAAUAUGCUUGGAAGGCCAUGAAAUUCAUUGAAACAUUACAGGUCAUUUUGAACCAUGAAACACUUGAAUUUUUCUAAGUUAUAUGAUCAAUUUUUCAUGCCAAAUUCAACAUGACAUAACUUUGUGCUCAAGCAUCCAAAUGCAACCUUUCUUAGCACAUUGUAAUCUUGGCAAUGAUGUUAACACAUUGCAAAAAGAAUGGGAUCAAAAAGCCUAUUGAGCAGAAUGUCCAUUGGGUUAAACAUGGUGACUUGCAACUGAAGAAAUCACCAUUGCCCGAAAUUUGAACAUCACUAAUCUCAACCCCAUGCCAAAUUAGCAUGCGUUUUGGACCUAAACAUGUUUAAACAAGUCCCCAGAAGUUAAUUGACCCUUAAAACGCAUCAUUUGGAUGAGUUUUGAUGAGUUUCAAGUCACACUUUUCACACAUUCGGAUCAAAUUCGUUUUUGGAUCCAAUCACAUUCCCUAUAAAUAGAGGAAGUUAUUGCCUUCAUUUGCAAGCUUUGGAGAGCCAAGAAAUCCCUACUACAACUUGAAAUUUUUCUAGAAAAUUCAACUAUCGUGUUUUCAGUUUCAACUUGUUUCCAAUUUCUUGAUUCCAUUAGCACCUUCGGCAUCCUCUAAAAGUUUUUCAACCAUUCCCAAGCUCUGAGACCUCCUGAAAUGUUCUAACCAAAUCGAGCUUCAUCAACUUCUUAUCACCAUUUGGACAAGGCAGUUCUGAGCAUCAUUUAAACUCAAACAAGUUACCAUAAUGUAGUCCUUCACUCACUGAUGCUUUCCCCUAACUUAUCUGAUGUUGGUUGAUCGUGUUAAUCAUUUAAUUUUAUUUUUUGUGGCUUGCUUGUUUUUGAAACUUAUCUAAAACUUCCUUUGCUCAGUUCACAUAAAUGAAUUUGGAGCAUAAGGUUGAAUUCGAGAUGAGAAGAGGAUCACAAUGGUGGUGGUCUCGUGUCUUGAAUUUACCAAACGAUGAAACUUCGGUGAGAGCUCAUCGGAGAAGACGACUAUAGCUUUCUCAGGUUGUAUGAGUUUGAUCAGACACGUUGGCAAAAUGAAAUAUUUUGAUUGGUUGGAUUUAAACUGGAUCCUGUGUUUAGCUUGUAGCGUGUUCCAUUGUGCAUCCUAACUUUGGAGUGUUGGAUAUGCCAUGUCAAUUAAUGAGGCGUGAUCCAACGCUCCUUGUUUUUUCUGAUUUUAAUUUUUUUUCUUUUAUUGCUUUUUCUUUAUAAAUUCAUAGUAAUUUCAUUUUUUAUCCAAAAAUCCCAAAAUAAUUUCUAAACUUCUCUUUUAUUUUUUUCAUCUGAUUUUUAUUUUUUUAUAUUUUAUUUCACAGAUUUUCUAUUUUCAUGAAUUUUCUAUUUUCUCCUUUGUUUUAAUUGGUUAAAAAAUACUUUUCUGCAUUUAAAAAUUCUGAAAAUUUUAUUAUAUGUUUCUUAUUUUAUUUCCAACCUUCCAUAAUUUUCUUGGCCAUUUAUUUGGUAUUUUGAAGGACUUUAUGGAUUUUUCCUUUAUUUAUUUUUAUAUUCAUUUUAAAAAUACCUUUGAUGCAUUUUUAUUUCAUUUAAUUGCAUUUUUAUUUGUGUGACUUUGUGAACUUCCAUUGGCCUUGGAUCAUGAUGGUUUGGACUUCAAGUCUCAUAAAAUUCAAUGGAUCUUGGGUGUUGAUGGGGUGAAAACCCUAAUCCAUCAAAAUGGAUGAUUGACUUUGAUGAUAACUUGAUCAAACUUUUGAUCCAAUUUGGGUGUGACCUCUCUUGGCCCCUUCUUCUUCAUCUCUUUAUUUUCCCUUUUAUCAAUUGGAUGACUUGUAUCCAUCUUAUUCAUGAUGUGUGGAUUGGUACUUGAUAAACUUUCAUCAUUUUAAAUCUAUCUUUUAAGUGAUUAUAGAUCAUUUGAGGUACUUUGGAUUGAGCAUACAUUUAUCCUAAGUAUCAUGAAGUGUGGAGUGAAGUAAUGGACCAUCCUCCUAGCCUUUAUGCUUGAUCAUCCCCUUUAUUUUCUUUUCUUUUGUGGCAUGACUUUAGGAGAACAAUUUACAUAUCAUUUGUCUAGCAUGUAUUAACAUAAACAUUAUUAUUGACCGACCUCUGAUAGUUGUGACUUCUACAUAAGUCCAAUUACGAUUGCUUGACAUAGCGCUAAAUUUGUUCCAAAAGCAAAAGGCAUUUUUAUAAGUGAGAUUGCAAGUCUCAUAUUCCUCAUGGUAUUGUAUGAAAAUGUUUCUCCUUUUCCAUUUGUGAAAGCUAGUGACAUACUUGUCGAUUUCAUCUAAGUUGGAGCUCUUCUCAUAAAUGAUGUAUAUGUUCAUGUUUUCAUGCUUGUGAGUGGAUAGUUGAGUGUUCACCAAAAAAAUGACCAAACCAUCCUUCAUCUUUGAUCACUAACAACAUUUACUAACAUAUUACUUGUAUUAACUCCUAUUUCAAUGUCAUUUACUUUAUGGCUUUAUUUUUAUGUCAUUUACUUUAUACUUUAUGUUUAGAAUUCCAUAUCAUAUUGUUGGUGUUUAUGUCAUUUUUUUCUUUGUACAUUUGGACCUUUCUUUUAUACCAUUGUAAAGAAAACACUAAUAAGAAAAAACCUAAAAAAGAACUUGUUUCUCUUGACUUAUGAACUUGUGGUUACUAUCCUUGGCAUCAUUGUAGAGCCAUGGACUUGCACUUACUAUCCUUGGCAUCAUUGUAGAUCUAUGGACUUAGAAUUAGGAUCUUGACCCUUGAUUUGGGACUUGUGAUUUGAGACUCUAGAGUUCAUGGUACCUUUGACUUUGGAAUUUCUUUUGGAGACUUGUCUGAGUUACUUUGGUUUCAUCUGAUACAUGGAUUAUUAUUUUUUUAUUUCGACUUGCUUGAGGCUUAAUCCAAAAGAGGGAAUUAUUGCUUGACUUAUGUCAUAAAGCUUUCUAUUUCUUGGUUAGAUCUUCCUUCCCCAGCUUUUACUUUAUUCUUUAAGAUAGCCUCUUCUUCUCCUCCCUUCUUUAAUUUUCAAAUCUUCUCCCUCUUUUAAAAAAUCUUCUUGAUUUCAAACUUGAACCACUUUCUCAAUAAACCUUGAAUUAUGUCAAGUGAUUUUAAAACCCUUUUUAAAAAAAUGCUAAUUCAUCUUAAGCAUACUCAUACCAAUUUCAAAAGACUAAAAAAGGCAUAACUCAUCUAAACCAUUUGUGUGCACUUUGUGCACUUUUCCUUUUAAAACGUUUCUCAAGGUGUUAGACAUGAGUCAUUUCCAUGGUUGACAUAUAAUUCUUCUAUCUCCAUAGUAUUGAUGAUAAUUAUUUUUCCAUCUGUGAGAGCUAGUGGCAUACUUGUUGAUCCUUAUCCAAGUUAGAGCCCUUCUCAUGAUGAUGCAAAGUUCUCAUGCUUGUGGGUGACUAGUUGAGUAUUCUCCUUAAAAUGAAAAAAUAUCUUUUCCAUAAAAAAUAAAUAAAAAUAAACUCCUUUCAUUAUUUUUACCAUGAACUACGAGGUUUUGAUCCUCCAUUGCACUUUGUUGGUACGUAGGCAUGAGACUUCAAAAGUCUUGGCAAACAUAAAAAGAAGAAAAAAUAUACUUCUUUUCCCAUAUCUCCAAUCUUUUACAAACAACACCCUUUUCCAAACCAAAAUGUACAUAUUUUCAAACAGGUUCUCAUGGAGUACAAUGGAUGUUUAGGGUGCUAAUACCUUCCCUUUGCAUAACUAACCCUCUGACACUUGUUCUCUUUUUACUAGUUUUGUUUUAAAACUUCUUCGGGUUUUUUUUGCACUUUUUCCCUUUUUCUUUGGAAACAAUAAAAGUGCGGUGGCGACUCUUGCUUUGCGAGUUAAGUUAAUCAAUAACUUAGUCUCAAAUUUUUUACCGCUACAAUAGAUAAUCCCCAAAAGUUGUCCAUAACCCUAACUUUGACUUUCUAACUUUGAUUAUCACUAACCUUUUGUUAUUGUUAUUAUCAUUGUUAUUGUUUAUUAUUCUUUACAUAUUAUGUCAUUUAUAUUUAAGUAUUCACCAUCAUUAUCAUUGUACAAAUUCAUUAUACACACUUUACUAUUGUCAUCAUUCAAAAACAACAAAAACAUGAUAAAAUGAUAAGAUAAAAAACAAUUCAUUUCACUUAACCACUUUGGCUUAGAGGAUCCCAAUCCUAAGACCAUUGCUUGGAGGCUCUUGUCACUUCACCUUGUGAUACUUUGUAAACAUUUGGGUUUCAUUCGUACUUACAUUCCGAUUGUAAGAAUGUCAUCAUGGCACCACCUUAGGGGGACAUGUUUGUAAGAACAUUAUCCUUUGUUUAGAAUAGGUAACUUUGCACACACAAGGCUUUCUCUUGGGCUACCUUACAAUGAGCUCCUUUACUUCCUUGUUGGUUACUUUGCAUUCAUGUUUCAUAAGCCAAAUUUCAUAAUUAAAUAAAUAAACCCUUGAUUCAAUGUCAAGUGGAUUUUUCAUAAUCAAACUCAAAACACUUAGUAACUACGAUUAGUAUUGUGCGCCACGAGCCUUAAGUGGUAGAGAAGGAGUGGGAAUGAAAUAUUCCUACCCCCACUCUGAUUAUUUUGGUUGCAAUACGCUUGGAUUAUUAUCUAGAAUAAUCACCUCUGCCCCUAGACUUUAGUGCAAUCUAAUCACAAACUCUUUUCCUAAACCCUUGUUCAAGGUAAAAUCAACUCAGCCCAUCAUACCUAAAUUUUUGUGCCUUAGGGCACCCACUCCGAAAACCCUUUUCUCAAAGGUAAAAUCAAUCAAACACACAAAUAUUUUCUACUCCGAACUAUGGAGCUCUGAUUCCUCAUCCCUGAAUGAGUGAUACGCAGGCACAAGGGCCAUAAUCCUUGGCGAGCACUAUAGAAAUAAACCCCCCUCUUUCACACAUGUUCUUUUAAAAUAAAAAGCAAAUGACAGAUAAAUUCCCAUGUACGUAAAAAGAACCCAAAUGGUUCCCAUAAAGUACCAUGGAUGUGAGGGGUGCUAAUACCUCCCCCUCGCGUAGCCGACUUUCGAACCCUAAUCUCGGUUGCGAGACCGAUACCCUAUCCUUUUCUUUGGCGCUUCCCGUGCGCCUACCUUUUUGAGGGUUUUAUCGAUUAUUUCCCCUCGCCUUCUCCGAUGGAGGCAUAAAAAAUAAAAUUUGGUGGCGACUCUUCUGGUUUUUGCCUUCCCCCUCUUGGUGGAGGCGAUUCUUUCGUCUAGUCUGUCCAGUUCACUCGUUAUCCAAAACCCCGACGGCGACAGUUGGCGACUCUGUUGGGGAAACCCCAUGUACUUAGCAAGUCUAGGCUAGUUUGGGUUGUUUCUCUUUUACGUACGUAGAAAUUUAUCCGUCAUCUAUUUUUUCUAUAUAUAUAUAUAUAUAUAUAUAUAUAUAUAUAAUAUAUAUAUUGCUUCAUUGCUAACGUGUACAUAUUUUUCUUUGUUUGUCUGUUGACCCGAAUCUUUGGUUCCAUGACGAUGAAUUAUGGAAGCAAUAAUGAUUACAAUGAAAAAUCUGUGUGAAAGACUCUCCACCCGAGUCUGAGAGAUUUACUUGAGAUAGGAGAGGUUGAGUAGUAUUUAUCUGCGGGGUGCCUUCCUCGUUAGGGUCGUACGAGAACUUCACUUAGUGGUAGAUUCUCUUAAGGGGAUUGAUGACCGUCGUGCUUUCGGUGUAAGCAUCCUUUCCUUUACUAGAGUCGGUGACCCUAAGACCCCUUUUUGUAGAACCUUUAACCAUGGGCAGCCUAGACCGAUGGUCGCGUAGUAUAGGCCAUCGAGGUGCCUUCCUCGUAAGGGUCGAUACAAAGAUCUCACUUAUAGUAGAUGAAUUUGAUGGAGCAGUCGUCUGGCAAGUAAAUUGACAUAAGCGGCUGACAGUUAACGAAGUCCAUGAAUCUAGGGAUAAUGUCUUACACCCAAUUUUAAAAAAAAAGCCAUAGAUCUCAAAAAGCUAGAACCUUGGUUUUCUAAGCAGUCCUUAUUAAACUCCAUGCUUCGUCACGAUGGUCCGACACCAUGAACCCAUGCUUAACCUAUGGAAAUAAUAAAAAACCAAUCAUUUAUUCAUACAGUCAUUCAUCAUCAAAAUAAUAAGCAAAUCUCUUAAAGAUUUUCAUUUGUUCAAAUUCAGAAUUAUAAGACAUUUUUCCGACACAAUCAUGGAUACUUUAACAAGGAAAAGCACCUCUACCUUCCACUUCAAGAGCCCCGCCAUCAGUUCAUUAAAAGUCCUCUGCUCAAAGGUCGUUGUUCUUAAGGACAACAAGUUUAGAGAAAAUUUUGGGAACAUCAUAAACCUCCUAACUUAGAAGGUUGACUAUGGUGCUAUCACUACAAUGGCCUAAUACUAUGACGUCCCAUUAUGUUGCUUCACUUUCCCCGACUUCCAAAUCUCUCCAACCUUGGAAGACCUCGAGAGACUCCUCAAUUGAUCAAUCAAGGAAUAUAACCCCUUCCCCAAAUUGGAAGAAGGUUAUUGUUUGACUGAGCUCUCGCUCACCUUGGGUAUCACUGCCAACAAGCUAGUGGCUAAUUAGGGCGUUAAAGGAUCUCUCAAAGGUUUAACCCAAAAGUUAAUUAAAGCCCAUGCUUGGGAAAUGGUCAAAGAAGGAAGACCCGCCUUCUGUAGUGAAACCUUGGCACUUUUGUUUCAUGGAAUUUUCCUCUUCCCAAAUGUGGACAAGUCCGUGGAUCACUUGGAAGUUGAACUCUUUCUAAUGAAGAAUACGAUACCUUUUCUACUUGCCAACUUCUACCAUACCUUUCAUACAAGGCAUGAGAAGAAGGGAUGUACUUUCCUUUGUUGUGCUCCUUUCUUACACCUAUGGAUGAGGGCCCGCAUGCCUCAAAGUAGACCCUUUGAUCAAAGGAAUUUGACAUGGCCUCAAAAGUUCGCAUCUCUCUCUUCCAACUCAAUUUUAUGGUACAAGAGAGAAUGAGAUACGAAAGACGUCAUUUCAAGAUAUGGAGGGUUCCCUAAUGUACCCUUAAUAGGAACGCAAGGUUGCAUCAACUACAACCCUACUAUACUCAAGAGAUAACUAGGGUACGCCAUGAUGAGUCCUCCCGAUGAAAGAGACUUCAUUCCAUUCGUCAUCAAUAUCGUGGAUCCGCUCGAUUCAAAUGUGAAAAGAGUGCGAAAAGCUUGGAUGAACAUAAUUCGUAUUGACCAAGAAUGGUGUAAGAAAAACAUCAUAUCCAAGGAACCCUACUAUGUGUGGGUAAAAGAGAGGGAUAAGGUUGUUAAGAUGCCAUUUCUGUUUGACCCUCAUCAUUCUCGUUGAUGCCCGAGCCCGAGCCUAUCCUACAAGAGGACAUGGACAAACUUACCAACAAAAUCAAAGAGCUUGAGUUGGAGAACACUCAAUUACGAGUCCAACUCAACCGUGCCAAGGAACAUAACCACGUCUUGGAGGAUAAGGGUAAGCAAGUUUGUGAAAAAUUCAAGGAUAGCAAGAAGAGGCUCUGGAUAGCCAAGGGACAAAGAGUUUAGGUUGAUGGAGCUCUACAAGGAGAUAAUUCUGAGCUAGACUUUCGCAAUGACAAGUUGGAUCAAGCGUUCUGAGUCAUCAAGGGUCUUGAGAAAACUAUCGAGAGGUCUAAUGCUAUGAAGAAAGAAGCGAGGGAAGACUAUGAAGCCCAUAUUCUUGAGCUAAAGACCAUUCUAAAGAAGUGUAAGGACCUUCUAGCUAAGGAACAACUAGAAAGAGAAAAGAUUCACCGAAGCUUCUUGUGCGAGCAGUUCAACCUUGGACGAGCUUGCGAGAAAAUCAAGAACCUGAAGAGGGGAAUCUAUGACCAAGCCUAUGUGGAGUUGAAAAAUAAUUGUAGACAUUGGGAGGAGAAUUUCCAUGGAGUCGAAGUUGCCAUUGCUCAAAGAGAUAGAAUCAUCCACAAUCUCUAAACCCUUUACAACGAGUGGAGGGAAAAAUACGCCAACAUGGCGGUACUGGCUAACUAUUCCCUUCAAGACUUUCUCGAAAAGUUGAAGGAGGAUGAUCUGGUUAUGUGCCCAGAUAAUACCCAUGAGAAGGUCUAUCACUCAUUACCGACACUGAGGCUCUCCGCAAGUCUCAAUGGGUCACUUUUAGGGUUGACAUCUAGUUAGUUUAUUUUGUUUCUACUACUUGUACUCUUCAACUUACAUGUAUUGUAACUUGAUUUCCCUUCAAUGCAUGAAUAAAAGCUUGUUGUUUUUCUCUAUUGUGUGUUUCCUUUAUCUGUGAUUGUGAACGUAAAUCGUUAAGUAGUUCUUGCAUUAAAUAAAACGCGAAUAACUAAAAAAAGCUUUGCUUCAACAUUAAAAAUGCAUGCAUCAUUUUGCAUAUUUCAAAACAUAAAAACAUAAAAACUCAUUCAUCCACCCUUUUUCUGAUCAGAACCCUACUCUAAAAGAUGACGUUCCAGUAUAAC
rnacentral:lncRNA from 1 species